rfam:Spinacia oleracea cultivar SynViroflay scaffold3061.con0003.1, whole genome shotgun sequence.
AUACCAUGUUGGGGGCACCUUCGUUGUAAGCCUUUGUACCUAACCCAUGCCUCCGACAAGGAAUCCAUGUCUCCUUGUGUGAAAGUAGAAAUAUCAUUACGAAGUUU